rnacentral:rRNA from 1 species
UGGGGAAUUUUGGACAAUGGGCGCAAGCCUGAUCCAGCAAUGCCGCGUGCAGGAUGAAGGCCUUCGGGUUGUAAACUGCUUUUGUACGGAACGAAACGGCUCUGUCUAAUACAUGGGGCUAAUGACGGUACCGUAAGAAUAAGCACCGGUUAACUACGUGCCAGCAGCCGCGGUAAUACGUAGGGCGCAAGCGUUAAUCGGAAUUACUGGGCGUAAAGCGUGCGCAGGCGGUUAUAUAAGACAGAUGUGAAAUCCCCGGGCUCAACCUGGGACCUGCAUUUGUGACUGUAUAGCUAGAGUACGGUAGAGGGGGAUGGAAUUCCGCGUGUAGCAGUGAAAUGCGUGGGUAUGCGGAGGAACACCGAUGGCGAAGGCAAUCCCCUGGACCUGUACUGACGCUCAUGCACGAAAGCGUGGGGGGCAAACA